GAUGAACGCUAGCGGCAGGCUUAACACAUGCAAGUCGAGGGGUAGAGGAAGCUUGCUUCCUUGAGACCGGCGCACGGGUGCGUAACGCGUAUGCAACCUACCUUUUACAGAGGGAUAGCCCAGAGAAAUUUGGAUUAAUACCUCAUAGUAUAUAGUCUUCGCAUGUUGACUAUAUUAAAGUUCCAACGGUAAAAGAUGGGCAUGCGUCCUAUUAGCUAGAUGGUAAGGUAACGGCUUACCAUGGCAACGAUAGGUAGGGGUCCUGAGAGGGAGAUCCCCCACACUGGUACUGAGACACGGACCAGACUCCUACGGGAGGCAGCAGUGAGGAAUAUUGGACAAUGGGCGCAAGCCUGAUCCAGCCAUGCCGCGUGCAGGAAGAAGCAUCUAUGGUGUGUAAACUGCUUUUGUACAGGAAGAAACACCCCGACGUGUCGGGACUUGACGGUACUGUAAGAAUAAGGAUCGGCUAACUCCGUGCCAGCCGCCGCCGUAAGAC
rnacentral:rRNA from 1 species